CCCGCCGGCGACCGGCGCACGGGUGAGUAACGCGUAUGCAACCUGCCCGGCACAGUGGGAUAAUCCGGGGAAAUCCGGUCUAAUACCGCAUGACGCGGGAAAGGCGCAUGCCUUUUCCGCCAAAGGAGGCGACUCCGGUGCCGGCUGGGCACGCGUGACAUUAGCUAGUUGGCGGGGCGACGGCCCACCAAGGCGACGAUGUCUAGGGGUUCUGAGAGGAAGGUCCCCCACACUGGUACUGGGACACGGACCAGACUCCUACGGAAGGCAGCAG
rnacentral:rRNA from 1 species